rnacentral:misc_RNA from 1 species
UCGAGUUAGGGUUCCCUCCGAGGGCCCGACCUCCAACCCGGUGUCUAAAUUUACCAAACGUUGCUUCGGCGGGCCCGCCUGUAAGAGGGCCGCCGGGGGUCUUGCACCCCUGGCCCGCGCCCGUCGAUAGCCCACAACAAACUCUUGAUUAACCGUGUCCUGUCUGAAUGAUACUUAUAAUAAGCACA